UCGGAUAUGGUGUAACGACUAACAUUACCGCCUUUCAUGAGAGGCCGACCGACUUUACGCGGUCGCCCGGGGUUCAAUUCCCAUAUCCGAA